rnacentral:rRNA from 1 species
AACCAACAGGGAUUGCCUCAGUAGCGGCGAGUGAAGCGGCAAGAGCUCAGAUUUGAAAUCGUGCUUUGCGGCACGAGUUGUAGAUUGCAGGUUGGAGUCUGUGUGGAAGGCGGUGUCCAAGUCCCUUGGAACAGGGCGCCCAGGAGGGUGAGAGCCCCGUGGGAUGCCGGCGGAAGCAGUGAGGCCCUUCUGACGAGUCGAGUUGUUUGGGAAUGCAGCUCCAAGCGGGUGGUAAAUUCCAUCUAAGGCUAAAUACUGGCGAGAGACCGAUAGCGAACAAGUACUGUGAAGGAAAGAUGAAAAGCACUUUGAAAAGAGAGUGAAACAGCACGUGAAAUUGUUGAAAGGGAAGGGUAUUGCGCCCGACAUGGGGAUUGCGCACCGCUGCCUCUCGUGGGCGGCGCUCUGGGCUUUCCCUGGGCCAGCAUCGGUUCUUGCUGCAGGAGAAGGGGUUCUGGAACGUGGCUCUUCGGAGUGUUAUAGCCAGGGC